ensembl:lincRNA Gm29233 predicted gene 29233
UGACUACAGUGAAAUUGAAUUCCUGCAGUCUUACCUGAUAUAACCGGUCUUUGGCCUGUGGCUGAGACGCCAUCUGUACGCAGUGAAAUCUUUCCAGCCGAUGUGGCGAGGGUCAUGCCACAGGGUGCGCACCUGAAGGAAAAGGAGCAGGAAAAGUUGAAACACAGCCUCCUUCUAGACGAGGCUUCUUACCUGGCCAGGGGUGUUUCCUGUGUGCCACAGUGCAUUCCGCAGGUGCUCGCCAGGGCCGGUGGUGGAGUUCACAACCUUUACAGACAGGC